rnacentral:rRNA from 1 species
UACAGGGGGUGCAAACGUUGCUCGGAAUUAUUGGGCGUAAAGCGCGCGUAGGCGGCCACUUAAGUCGGAUGUGAAAGCCCCUGGCUCAACUGGGGAAGUGCACCCGAAACUGAAUGGCUUGAGUGCGAAAGAGGGUCGCGGAAUUCCCGGUGUAGAGGUGAAAUUCGUAGAUAUCGGGAGGAACACCGAUGGCGAAGGCAGCCUCCUGGGCCAGCACUGACGCUCAUGCACGAAAGCGUGGGGAUCAAACAGG